UAAUACGGAGGAUCCAAGCGUUAUCCGGAUUCAUUGGGUUUAAAGGGUGCGUAGGCGGGAUAGUAAGUCAGUGGUGAAAGCCUGCAGCUUAACUGCAGAACUGCCAUUGAUACUGCUAACCUAGAGUACAGCUGAUGUGGGCGGAAUGUGUCGUGUAGCGGUGAAAUGCUUAGAUAUGACACAGAACACCGAUUGCGAAGGCAGCUCACAAAACUGUAACUGACGCUGAGGCACGAAAGUGUGGGGAUCGAACAGGAUUAGAUACCCUGGUAGUCCACACUGUAAACGAUGAUUACUCGAUGUUGGCGAUAUACAGUCAGCGUCCAAGCGAAAGCGAUAAGUAAUCCACCUGGGGAGUACGGUCGCAAGAUUG
rnacentral:rRNA from 1 species